rnacentral:rRNA from 1 species
AUUGAACGCUGGCGGCAGGCCUAACACAUGCAAGUCGAGCGAGCGGCGGACGGGUGAGUAAUGUAUGGGGACUGCCCGAUAGAGGGGGAUAACUACUGGAAACGGUAGCUAAUACCGCAUACUAUCGGAUAACCCAUAUGGGAGUAGCUAGUAGGUGAGGUAAUGGCUCACCUAGGCGACGAUCCCUAGCUGGUCUGAGAGGAUGAUCAGCCACACUGGGACGGAGCCACGGCCCAGACUCAUACGGAGGCAUCAGUGGGGAAUUGUGCACAAUGGGCGCAAGCCUGAUGCAGCCAUGCCACGUGUAUGAAGAAGGCCUUAGGGUUGUAAAGUACUUUCAGUCGGGAUGCGUUACCGACAGAAGAAGCACCGGCUAACUCCGUGCCAGCAGCCGCGGUAAUUC